GACGAACGCUGGCGGCGUGCUUAACACAUGCAAGUCGAACGGAAAGGCCCUGCUUUUGUGGGGUGCUCGAGUGGCGAACGGGUGAGUAACACGUGAGUAACCUGCCCUUGACUUUGGGAUAACUUCAGGAAACUGGGGCUAAUACCGGAUAGGGGCUCCUGCUGCAUGGUGGGGGUUGGAAAGUUUCGGCGGUUGGGGAUGGACUCGCGGCUUAUCAGCUUGUUGGUGGGGUAGUGGCUUACCAAGGCUUUGACGGGUAGCCGGCCUGAGAGGGUGACCGGCCACAUUGGGACUGAGAUACGGCCCAGACUCCUACGGGAGGCAGCAGUGGGGAAUAUUGCACAACGGGCGGAAGCCUGAUGCAGCAACGCCGCGUGCGGGAUGACGGCCUUCGGGUUGUAAACCGCUUUCGCCUGUGACGAAGCGUGAGUGACGGUAAUGGGUAAAGAAGCACCGGCUAACUACGUG
rnacentral:rRNA from 1 species